CGCUUAGCACAGCUCAGUAACACGUGGCUAACCUACCCUUGGGACGGCAACACCCCCGGGAAACUGGGGCGAAUUUCCGAUAGGUGAAGACUCCUGGAAUGGAUUUUCGCCUAAAGGGCGUAUAGAGCAUGCUUCUAUGCGUUGCCCAAUGAUGGGGCCGCGGCCGAUCAGGUUGUUGGUGAGGUAAUGGCCCACCAAGCCUUUAACCGGUACGGGCCGUGGGAGCGGUAGCCCGGAGAUGGGCACUGAGACAAGGGCCCAGGCCCUACGGGGCGCAGCAGUCGCGAAAACUUCGCAAUAAGCGAAAGCUUGACGGGGCCAUCCCGAGUGCCAUCUGCUGAGGAUGGCUUUUACCCAGUAUAGAUAGCUGGGAGAAUAAGGAGAGGGCAAGUCUGGUGUCAGCCGCCGCGGUAAUACCAGCUCUCCGAGUUGUAGGGAUGUUUAUUGGGCCUAAAGCAUCCGUAGCCGGCUGGACAAGUCCUCUGUUAAAUCCAGCGACCAAUCGUUGGUCUGCGGGGGAUACUGUCCGGCUAGGGGGCGGGAGAGCCCGUCGGUAUUCCUGGGGUAGGGGUGAAAUCCUAUAAUCCCAGGAGGACCACCAGUGGCGAAGGCUGUCGGCUAGAACGCGCCCGACGGUGAGGGAUGAAAGCUGGGGGAGCGAACCGGAUUAGAUACCCGGGUAGUCCCAGCUGUAAACGAUGCAGGCUAGGUGUUAGGGCGACUACGUGCCGCUCUAGUGCCGCAGGGAAGCUGUUAAGCCUGCCGCCUGGGGUUACCGCCGGAAGGCUGAACUUAAAGGCCA
rnacentral:rRNA from 1 species